rnacentral:rRNA from 1 species
GAUGAACGCUAGCGGCAGGCUUAAUACAUGCAAGUCGAGGGGCAGCAUGAUUGUAGCAAUACAAUUGAUGGCGACCGGCAAACGGGUGCGGAACACGUACACAACCUCCCAAUAAGUGGGGAAUAGCCCAGAGAAAUUUGGAUUAAUACCCCGUAACAUAACGAUGUGGCAUCACAUUGUUAUUAUAGAUUUUUCGCUUAUUGAUGGGUGUGCGGCUGAUUAGAUAGCUGGCGGGGUAACGGCCCACCAAGUCUACGAUCAGUAGCUGAUGUGAGAGCAUGAUCAGCCACACGGGCACUGAGACACGGGCCCGACUCCUACGGGAGGCAGCAGUAAGGAAUAUUGGACAAUGGACGCAAGUCUGAUCCAGCCAUGCCGCGUGAAGGAUUAAGGUCCUCUGGAUUGUAAACUUCUUUUAUAAGGGACGAAAAAAGGCUUUUCUAAGUCGUCUGACGGUACCUUAUGAAUAAGCACCGGCUAACUCCGUGCCAGCCGCCGCCGUAAGAC